CAUCACAGAGCAGUGCGCAGGAGUGGUGGAUGGCGCACACCUGGCACCUCCUGUGUUUAUAUUCCAGUGUUCGCGUGUAAUGUGAAGUAAUCUGCAUUCCUUUGACGGUGAACAGCGAGCUUGAGAAUCGGAGAGGCAGGGCAGGACGAGUGGACGGCUGGAUGUCACAAAAACAUAACGACGCUAUGAAAUGUGGAGGCAACCGGACAUUACGAACAGCCAGGUGAACAAAACGCACAAAAUCGCACCUUUCUGCCCGGGCCUGAUCACUGCUAAAGGUGUCCUGAGCCCCGCCAGCCCCGUGACGAGAGCAAAGCAUUUGAGGAUCAGUAGUUGCAAUGGCAGUGAGAGCGAGAGGGAGGGACACAUUCUUCACCGUGACUUUAUGGUGAGAUUAAGCAGUAAUGAUACGCCCCCCUUCUGUCAUCGCUCCUUCAGCCUUCACUCUUGCUGCCCUCUGCCUUCUGCCGCCACCAUUACGUUUUCUUCACUCGGUUUGAUGACAGGCUGGGCAACGGGCACUAAUGUAAAUAUAUGUGAAGGAUUGAUAAUAUUGAUAAAAAUAGAU